AUUGAACGCUGGCGGCAGGCCUAACACAUGCAAGUCGAGCGGUAGAGAGAAGCUUGCUUCUCUUGAGAGCGGCGGACGGGUGAGUAAUUCCUAGGAAUCUGCCUGGUCGUGGGGGAUAACGUUCGGAAACGGACGCUAAUACCGCAUACGUCCUACGGGAGAAAGCAGGGGACCUUCGGGCCUUGCGCUAUCAGCUGAGCCUAGGUCGGAUUAGCUAGUUGGUGGGGUAAUGGCUCACCAAGGCGACGAUCCGUAACUGGUCUGAGAGGAUGAUCAGUCACACUGGAACUGAGACACGGUCCAGACUCCUACGGGAGGCAGCAGUGGGGAAUAUUGGACAAUGGGCGAAAGCCUGAUCCAGCCAUGCCGCGUGUGUGAAGAAGGUCUUCGGAUUGUAAAGCACUUUAAGUUGGGAGGAAGGGCAGUAAAUUAAUACGUUGCUGUUUUGACGGUACCGACAGAAUAAGCACCGGCUAACUAUGUG
rnacentral:rRNA from 1 species